rnacentral:rRNA from 1 species
CUACGGGAGGCUGCAGUGGCGAAUAUUGCACAAUGGAGGAAACUCUGAUGCAGCAACGCCGCGUGGAGGAUGACACUUUUCGGAGCGUAAACUCCUUUUAUAUAGGAAGAAGAUGACGGUACUAUAUGAAUAAGCGCCGGCUAACUCCGUGCCAGCAGCCGCGGUAAUACGGAGGGCGCAAGCGUUACUCGGAAUCACUGGGCGUAAAGAGCGUGUAGGCGGAUUAAAAAGUCAGAAGUGAAAUCCUAUAGCUUAACUAUAGAACUGCUUCUGAAACUCUUAAUCUAGAAUGUGGGAGAGGUAGAUGGAAUUUCUGGUGUAGGGGUAAAAUCCGUAGAGAUCAGAAGGAAUACCGAUUGCGAAGGCGAUCUACUAGAACAUUAUUGACGCUGAGACGCGAAAGCGUGGGGAGCAAACAGGAUUAGAUACCCCCGUAGUC